rnacentral:rRNA from 1 species
GACGACGCUGGCGGCGUGGAUUAGGCAUGCAAGUCGAACGGUAUCAUCCUUUCGGGGGUGAGAGAGUGGCGAACUGGUGAGUAAUACGUAGGUUAUCUACCCUCAAGACGGGGACAACCCAGGGAAACUUGGGCUAAUACCGGAUGUGAGCAACUUUUAGUUGUUUGAAAGGUGGCGUAAGCUGUCGCUUGGGGAUGAGCCUGCGUCCUAUUAGUUAGUUGGUGAGGUAACGGCUCACCUAGGCAAUGAUAGGUAGGCGGCCUUAACGGGUGGUCGCCCACACUGGGAUUGAGAUACGGCCCAGACUCCUACGGGAGGCAGCAGUCGAGAAUAGUCUACAAUGGUCGGAAGACUGAUAGUGCGACGCCGCGUGAACGAUGAAUCCCUUCGGGGUGUAAAGUUCUUUUAUAUGUGAGCAGUGCUUCUUAUAUUAACAGUAUGGGGAGAGAGAUAUUAGCAUAUGAAUAAGCAACGGCUAACUCCGUG